GGGUCUCUUUCUGGAGACAGCUCCUUACUAAAGCUUUUUCCUGUGAACCUGGAAUCUUCUGAUACAGCCUUAAGUGAGGUGACUGACUUGAGAGGAUGACUGGCUGAAAAACCAUCAGAAAUUAAACCUCAGCAGGCAUCAAGAGUACAGCCAGUGUGAAACAAGAAGCUACAGUCACAGAUUGGCAUGUCUUCAGGAAGUGGUUUUCUGCACCUGAGUAGAGCAAAGUGUUCAUGUGAUGGUCCAAGGAGAGAGCUCCCAGGAAGCAUGGAGGUGAGCAGUCACAAAGCCUGCACAGAUGCUGUGCCUCAAGAAGUGGUGGGGUAGGAUGCAGCUACAGGACAGCACAGAUUACCAACCCAGAAGUGAUGGGAGAUCCUCAGACUAGAAAAGCCAGCCUCUACCCUGCUUUAACCCAGCGUGAAUUUUAGGCAGUCUGUUGACCAUCGCUUAUCUGAAGUGGAAGAUUCACUGAAGUAAGCAGUUCUGAUGAUCUUUCAAAAUUGUCCUGGUUUAGCUAGUCAUAAAAUGCUGCACACAGUGGUAAUUACAGUAGGCUUGUCCUGUUACAGCUUGUGAUACCGAGGUCACAAAACACAAAUGCCAUACCCUGAAAUCACCAUGUCCUUUGCUGUACCUGCAUUAUGCCUGGCACAUUCAGUAAACCAAGUAUGAGAAGUAUGUUCAUCUGGUGAUAAUCAAAUCGAGAAGAGUGUGUUGUUAUAUUUGAGUAUGUUACUGCAGUUCUUAAAUAGCCUUCCCAAGAUUUAUAAAAAAGCUACUUUCAAAAACAUUUUGCAUCAUACCACCAUGAAGAAGAGAUCAUCAGGAAUUUUAAAAGGUCUGUUAGCAAUGCACCACUCUACUUAAGCAUUGUAAUUUUGUAAAUGAACUCAAAAUUAUGAAUAAAACAUGAAAUAGAUUAAGCAAGAUGAAUGGAGUGUUGAGAGAAGAUCCAAAAUCUGUUUGGCUAAUGCUUACAGCAUUAAUUCUCCAGAACUGCAUUCUUCAUACACUGCUAACUGAAAAUGCUUCAUCCAUUCAAACACAUACACUGAUGUGGAAAAGUUUCCUCUGUUUUCAACUUUUCCCAACUUUGAUUUGGAGGGGAGUGGCUGUAAAGAAUGAUGUCUUGUAAGAUGCAUCUAAGCAAAUUUUACUCUGCCCUCUGAAGUCAUAGC